rnacentral:rRNA from 1 species
AUUGAACGCUGGCGGCAUGCCUUACACAUGCAAGUCGAACGGCAGCACGGGAGCAAUCCUGGUGGCGAGUGGCGAACGGGUGAGUAAAGUAUCGGAACGUGCCCAGUCGUGGGGGAUAACGUAGCGAAAGUUGCGCUAAUACCGCAUACGAUCUAUGGAUGAAAGCGGGGGAUCGCAAGACCUCGCGCGAUCGGAGCGGCCGAUUUCAGAUUAGGUAGUUGGUGGGGGAAAGGCUCACCAAGCCGACGAUCUGUAGCUGGUCUGAGAGGACGAGCAGCCACACUGUGACGGAGACACGGCCCAGACUCCGACGGGAGGAAGCAGUGGGGAAUUUUGGACAAUGGGCGCAAGCCUGAUCCAGCCAUGCCGCGUGCAGGAUGAAGGCCUUCGGGUUGUAAACUGCUUUUGUACGGAACGAAAAGGUUUGACUUAAUACGUUGGACUCAUGACGGUACCGUAAGAAUAAGCACCGGCUAACUACGUGCCAGCCGCCGCGGUAA